rnacentral:rRNA from 1 species
AUCCGCCCGGGUACUACGAGCAUGCUUAAAACCCAAAGGACUUGGCGGUGCCUCAGACCCACCUAGAGGAGCCUGUUCUAGAACCGAUAAACCCCGUUAAACCUCACCACUUCUUGUUUUUCCCGCCUAUAUACCGCCGUCGUCAGCUUACCCCGUGAAGGCCUAAUAGUAAGCAAAAUUGGUACACCCAAAAACGUCAGGUCGAGGUGUAGCGUAUGAAGUGGAAAGAAAUGGGCUACAUUUUCUAUAAACAGAAUACUACGAAUGGCACUCUGAAAAUAUGCCUGAAGGUGGAUUUAGUAGUAAAAAGCAAAUAGUGUGUCCUUUUGAAUUAGGCUCUGAGGCGCGCACACACCGCCCGUCCGUCACCCUCAAAAAA